UUGGGGUGGGUGUCUGAAUCUGAAAUGUACAAUUUGAGAUAACAAGAGGUGCUCCAUCACAAGUCACGCAGCGGUUCAGUUUUAGGCCACUGUGUCUCAGUGAUAUUGUUUGUUGUUGGGACUUUUACUUCUGAUUUGUUUAAAAAAUGAAACUAAAUCUUAACAAAGGCUUUCAUUUAUCCUUUUAUCCUCUUCACUUAAACAACAACAGUCUUGUGAUUUGUAGCCCAAAGAUAAUGAUCAAUUCUAUGUCAUAUUUUAGGAGCUAACAAAUGCACCUCUUCAUUAAACCUCUGCCUUGGAGAUAUUGUAUCAGAGUGGAAGUGGAGCAGAUCUAGCUUGGCACUAUGAGCCUCAUCCAUCAGCGCUGUGGGUGUAGAGUAGACCUGAAGGCACCGUGGAGCCAUUACAAUAUCAAAUGGCACGGUGAGCUGCACCUGGUUGGCACACUUUUGGAAGUCGAGUGGUGCCAAAAAUGUUUUUAUAAUUAUCUCAGAGAGGAAAAAGUUAGACUUUACUCUGACUGAUGAUGCUUUACAUCCAUCAGUAAGAGAAAGUGGGACUUGUUCUUUUUCUGUCCUCCACCACUUUCCUGCCCAGUAUUUUGGCUGUAGUAUAAAAAAGCCUUCUUGGCUAAUUACAUAUGGAACAGGAUCACUUUACCUCUACACUAUUCUUGUCACUGCCAACCUCACUGUUACAAUCUCCAUUAAAGCGGCUGGGUCAAUUUCCACCCUCUACAGUUUGAUUGCUAAUGCAUCUCCUGUUUCUCCUGCCCCAUCAUCCGGGCUUUCCUAUCCAUGCCCCCUCACCCCUCCACCUUCCACCCCUCCCGGUGUCCAUCUCUCUCCUUAAAUCUUUGCCUUUCCUUCCUCAUUUAAUCUGCCCUCCCUCCUGUGUCGCCUUUUGUUUUGUAAUGAAAAACCUCUUUGUCGCCCAAGGUGCUUGAGUUAAUAGCCGUGUGUAGACGACUUGUCGACAGUGAUGGAGGUCCCUGACAGGACAACAAAAGCCUUUGGGUGUUUGAUUCACAUGUGAACUGUGUAGACCGUUAUUCAAUUCCUGCUUAAGUAUUAAUAAAGGCUUUACAAGCGGGGGGAGCUUGCACGGUACAAGUGUGCGCUUGCGUUUCUUGGGUGUGUGUGCGUGCAGGAGUUAAUUUAUGGGCUGCUCAUUUUUCCUGUCAUGAUCAUUACAAGAGAGGGAACAGUAAAGACUUUGGUAACUUAGACUGUGUUAUGCAACUCAGAGGAAGCUCAGGGGAACCAAGACCACAGUGCAAUGACAGCCCCUCAAGGGUUCAGAUGAGCGGUGGAUAAAGUCUGCAGAGACAAGCAGCUGGUUUACUAUAUACAGUGCAGAAUGGUGAGUUUGAGUUCAUAUAUUUAAGAUUAUAUGUCUUUUACCUGCAUUCCUUUUCAAAGUUAAGUCUUGAAGAGAUUGUUUUUAUAAGGCUUUUACAAUGAUGGAAACUUAUUGCAACUUUUUUAUGGGGUAAUGCUCAUAAAACUUAAAACAAGGUACUGUAUAUGCUGUUCAAUGAAGGUGCUCUGUGCUGAAAAUAACAAAAUAAUAUAAAACUAAGAUGAUCACUAACAUAGUUAUUUAAGGUUUAUUUAGAUAAUUCUGAAUUAGGACUUAGGACAGUUUUUUACCUCAUGGUUAUCAUGUACAGAAGAUCUUGCAAUAACAAUAUAUCAUGAUAGUUAUGAAAAAUUUGAAGAUAAAACAACACAAUCAGUCAAAUUCAGGUAAGAAAGAGUGGAGCAAAAUGUUACUUAACUUUACUAAUACAUGCAACUUACAUGUUGUCUUUCAUUUUUGAUAAUGUACAAGUCUAUGAUUCAUCCACAUCACCAGCCCCUUGACCGAAACCUUUGAGGAGGAGACAUUGCCUCAUGUAGCAAUUGUUUGUCGUGCUUUUAUUUGAACAUUUUUUGUUAGUCUGCAGUUACAGUUUCUUUAUUUUCUGAAUGUUCAAAUCAUGUUUUUAUUUCGAAUUAUUCUAAUGAUGGUAGGUUUGAAGUUACAGAACUAAAUGAAAACUGUUAAGAAAUAAACAGAAAGUUUAGAUGUACAACUGAUAAUUAGCCUGAGAGGAACAACUUUUAUCAUUGAUCUUUGAUUUACAAUAAUCCUAAAAUGUUUGUUUUAAAAUUGCCCAAUCAUCUCUCAUUGAGCUUUAGCUAGGUCUUUAGCAGCAACGUUUUCUUCGCCUCUCCCCAUUUAAAGACGUGCGGCAACCAGAGUGAGGACCGCUACUAUGAAUAACCAACUGCAUGUUUUUAGCAUGAUAGCACCACUUUACUUGUUGUCGAUACCCGUCAAUAGAGCCCGAUAGUGAAUUUAAAAUCAUUUAAAAGAAUACCAAACAUCUUUUAGUUCCUGCUUUUGGAAAACUCAGCAUUUACACAAAUCUUUAAAACUAAACCAUAAAAACAACAAGUUUAAAUAUUUUACUCACUUUACUAUCACUGGUGGUCUUUGAGUUUGACCUGUAACCCAAUGAGCCUUAGCAUGAAACCAUCUGAGUUAAAGUAGAACUGUUUGUAUGUGAAAGGUACAAGUAUUGGAGGAAAAUGUCAGAUACUGUAUAUUGUGGACUAAAGUUUUUACAGCCAAAACUGCAUGUUGUAAAAGAUUGAGCAAAUCUGCUGAAGCUGUAUGCUGAAAAAUCUAAACGACUUCAGGAAAUUU
rnacentral:lncRNA from 1 species